GCUCUGACGAUAUUGCACUACUGUACUCACAGUUAAGCAGUGCAAUAGUAUUGUCAAAGCGU
rnacentral:pre_miRNA from 1 species